rnacentral:rRNA from 1 species
UACAGAGGUCCCAAGCGUUGUUCGGAUUCACUGGGCGUAAAGGGUGCGUAGGUGGCAAGGUAAGUUUGAUGUGAAAUCUUCGAGCUCAACUCGGAAACUGCAUUGAAUACUAUCUUGCUUGAGGAUUGGAGGGGAGGCUGGAAUUCUCGGUGUAGCAGUGAAAUGCGUAGAUAUCGAGAGGAACACCUGCGGCGAAGGCGGGUUGCUGGGCUGACACUGACGCUGAGGCGCGAAAGCUAGGGGAGCGAACGGG